rfam:Sphaerobolus stellatus SS14 unplaced genomic scaffold SPHSTscaffold_219, whole genome shotgun sequence.
UCCGAUAUGGUGUAGUGGCUAACAUUAUCGCCUUUCAUAAGAGUGCUUAAAGGCACUGUUCAGAACGCGAUAGCCCGGGGUUCAAUUCCCCGUGUCGGAA